rnacentral:rRNA from 1 species
UGGGGAAUUUUGCACAAUGGGGGAAACCCUGAUGCAGCGACGCCGCGUGAUUUAGAAGGCCUUCGGGUUGUAAAAAUCUUUUCUAUGGGAAGAAAAUGACAGUACCAUAGGAAUAAGGACCGGCUAAUUACGUGCCAGCAGCCGCGGUAAUACGUAAGGUCCGAGCGUUGUCCGGAAUCAUUGGGCAUAAAGGGUACGUAGGCGGGUAAGCAAGUUAGAAGUGAAAUCCUGUAGCUCAACUACAGUAAGCUUUUAAAACUGCUCAUCUUGAGAUAUGGAAGGGAAAGUGGAAUUCCUAGUGUAGCAGUGAAGUGCGCAGAUAUUAGGAGGAAUACCGGUGGCAAAGGCGACUUUCUGGCCAUAAUCUGACGCUGAGGUACGAAAGCGUGGGUAGCAAACAGG